AACUAAUCGGCUUCCCUGUUCUGUUUCUCUUCCGCUUCUUUUCCCAAAC
rnacentral:sRNA from 1 species